GCCACCGUAGCUCAGUUGGUAGAGCAACGCAUUCGUAAUGCGUGGGUCGGCGGUUCGAUUCCGCCCGGUGGCUCCA
rnacentral:tRNA from 1 species